AGAACUUUUACCCGACGACCAGUCACGUCGUAAACGUGUCACAUUGGCAGUAUUUCGUUCGUUGGUUCGCUACAAACGUCGAACGUUCUGGUUGUGCGACAUUGUCUAAUAAUACAUUUUGAAAGCCGGUGUUUUUUUCUUCGAUAUUUUUUAACGCGUGUUCGCAUUUACACCCUUCUCUCCCCCUCCCGAAGAAAGUUUCUGGUCUAGUUUAUUAGAAAAAAGAAAAAUCGAACUGUGAUACUUUCGGCGUUUGUCUUGGUACCAGUCCCGGAGGAACCGAUUUUCAGAGCACUAGGAGCUCCGGUGCGCUCUUGCACGCCGUAUUGUUGUGAUUUUUUUGUUAUUCUCUCCGACGCGCGUACGUGACACGUAAAACGGAUAACGCCAUUAUUAUUAUUAUUGUUAUUGUUAUUAUUAAAUAUAUCUGUUCGAAAAUCGAUCCGUCGUUAUGAAUCGUUCGGCAAUAAUGCGUCAUACACCGAGCCCCGCACGGCGGGGAUGACGUUUUCGAACGAUAAUAACGUCCGCCCUCCCCGGAACGACGGGACGUGUAACGGCCGACACUCUCGUUGCGGAUUUUCGGGAGACUGUAAAGGCCUUUUUUUUUU